AUUCGCCUACGGGGGGCAGCAGUGGGGAAUAUUGCACAAUGGGCGAAAGCCUGAUGCAGCGACGCCGCGUGAGUGAAGAAGUAUUUCGGUAUGUAAAGCUCUAUCAGCAGGGAAGAAAAUGACGGUACCUGACUAAGAAGCCCCGGCUAACUACGUGCCAGCAGCCGCGGUAAUACGUAGGGGGCAAGCGUAAUCCGGAUUUUCUGGGUGUAAAGGGAGCGUAGACGGCGAA
rnacentral:rRNA from 1 species